CAGCUACAGAAAGCAAGCAUUCCCUUUCCGAGAAUGUUGACAAGACCUUUUAAAACCCCAAUUUGGUGGGUCUCUCUUCCUUGCAGAGACAGAGCUGCCUGCUUUGCCAUUCAGAAAGGAUUGCAGGCAUCACGGAGUGACAGUAAGUUAUUUAAGCAUAAUGACAUGGCAGACCUGGAGCACCUGCUGAAGGAACAAGAGAUGGAAGAUGAAAAGAAUCCUCGCAAGGCUCGGGUCACUCGACGUUUCAUCGUCAUGGAAGGGCUAUAUAUGAACACUGGGGAAUCUGUCCUCUCCCAGAACUGAUCUAGAGACCCUCAUUCAAAGGGAAGAAUGCUACCACCAGGAGACAUACUGUGGUUCCAUUAAAGUGGAACUUAAGACGGCUACUCGGCCACCUUGGGCUCUUCAUGCCUUUGAAUAAACACAUAAAGAUGAGAGGUAAGGUGUUUAAUGAUCCUGACUAUGCAGAAAGAUGAGACUGUUAAUCCACCGUGGAAGAAAUGGAGGGCAUGUCUGCAGUACGAGAGAUUCCUUAGAACCACCAAGCCCUGGGACGAAAGUCAAUGAAAAAUGACAACUGUCCAGUCCAGGCAGGACUACUGAUAGUCCAGAAAACUCAGGAAUGAAGGGUUGGGUCACUCCACCAGAAAACGAAUCAUGACCAGCUGAGGUGCUUGUUCACAGCAAAUGUAAUGUAAAAUGAGCAGCCAAAGUAGCAGGUAGAAAACCAGCUAUGACUAUGUGACCAUUACAGAAAUAAGGACUCUAAUUCUUUUUUUCAUAAGAUCUUGUUCGUUUCUUUGUUCAGAGUGCAAGUGGGGGGUGGGACAGAGACAGAGGGAGAGAGAGAAUCUCCAGCGGGUUCCAUGCUGAGCACAGAG